rnacentral:rRNA from 1 species
UACGGAGGGUGCAAACGUUGCUCGGAAUUAUUGGGCGUAAAGCGCACGUAGGCGGUUCGUUAUGUCGGAUGUGAAAGCCCUCGGCUUAACCGAGGAAGUGCAUCCGAAACUGGCGAGCUUGAGUACGGAAGAGGGUCUCGGAAUUCCCGGUGUAGAGGUGAAAUUCGUAGAUAUCGGGAGGAACACCAGUGGCGAAGGCGGAGACCUGGGCCGAUACUGACGCUGAUGCGCGAAAGCCAGGGGAGCGAACGGG